AACGAACGCUGGCGGCAUGCCUAACACAUGCAAGUCGAACGAGACCUUCGGGUCUAGUGGCGCACGGGUGCGUAACGCGUGGGAAUCUGCCCUUGGGUACGGAAUAACUCAGAGAAAUUUGAGCUAAUACCGUAUAAUGACUUCGGUCCAAAGAUUUAUCGCCCAAGGAUGAGCCCGCGUAAGAUUAGCUAGUUGGUGGGGUAAAGGCCUACCAAGGCGACGAUCUUUAGCUGGUCUGAGAGGAUGAUCAGCCACACUGGGACUGAGACACGGCCCAG
rnacentral:rRNA from 1 species